rnacentral:sRNA from 1 species
UUAAAAAUACCCAACAAUGUCCUAUCAAAGUAUAAUUUGUUUUCCUAGCCUAGGUUUAUAUUUUUUAAAUUUUAAGUUAAUUAUUUGUCUUUUUAUAGAAACAAAGGAUGGAGUAUGGCCCAAGACCAGCUGAUACUCCCCCUGCUCCAUCACCUCCUCCAACACCAGCUCCUGUUCCUGUCCCCCUUCCCCCUUCCACUCCAGCACCUGUUCCUGUGUCAAAGUUCCCAGCAAAUAUAACACGUCAAAACAGCAGCUCCAGUGACAGUGGUGGCAGUAUCGUGCGAGACAGCCAGAGACACAAACAACUUCCGGUGGACCGAAGGAAAUCUCAGAUGGAGGAAGUGCAGGAUGAACUCAUCCACAGACUGACCAUUGGUCGGAGUGCCGCUCAGAAGAAAUUCCACGUGCCACGGCAGAACGUGCCAGUUAUCAAUAUCACUUACGACUCCACACCGGAGGAUGUGAAGACAUGGUUACAGUCAAAGGGAUUCAACCCUGUGACUGUCAAUAGUCUUGGAGUAUUAAAUGGUGCACAACUUUUCUCUCUCAAUAAGGAUGAACUGAGGA